AUCGGUCGUGCCUAAGUUGCUUGGAACAGUACGUCAUAGAGGGUGACAACCCCGUCUGUGGCUCGGCCGGCCGCUCACGAUGUGCUUUCGAAGAGUCGGGUUGUUUGGGAUUGCAGCCCUAAAUGGGAGAUAAACUUCUUCUAAAGCUAAAUAUUUAUGGGAAACCGAUAGCGAACAAGUACUGCGAAGGAAAGGUGAAAAGAACUUUGAAAAGAGGGUUAAAAGACUUGAAAUCGUUGAGAAGAAAGUGG
rnacentral:rRNA from 1 species